UACGGAGGGGGCUAGCGUUGUUCGGAAUUACUGGGCGUAAAGCGCACGUAGGCGGACCAGCAAGUUAGGGGUGAAAUCCCGGGGCUCAACCCCGGAACUGCCUUUAAAACUGUUGGUCUGGAGGUCGAGAGAGGUGAGUGGAAUUCCGAGUGUAGAGGUGAAAUUCGUAGAUAUUCGGAGGAACACCAGUGGCGAAGGCGGCUCACUGGCUCGAUACUGACGCUGAGGUGCGAAAGCGUGGGGAGCGAACAGG
rnacentral:rRNA from 1 species